rnacentral:rRNA from 1 species
CCUACGGGUGGCAGCAGUGAGGAAUAUUUGUCAAUGGGCGGAAGCCUGAACCAGCCAAGUCGCGUGAGGGAUUAAGGCCCUGCGGGUCGUAAACCUCUGUUGCCGGGGAGCAGAGGUCCGGACGUGUCCGGGCCGGGGGAGUACCCGGAGAAAACGCAUCGGCUAACUCCGUGCCAGCAGCCGCGGUAGUACGGAGGGUGCGCGCGUUAUACGGAUUUAGUGGGUUAAAAGGGUGCGUAGGCGGGCAUUUAAGCCGGCGGUCAAAUGUCGGGGCUCAACCCUGGCCUGCCGUCGGAACUGGGUGCCUUGAGUGGGCGAGAAGUAUGCGGAAUGCGUGGUGUAGCGGUGAAAUGCAUAGAUAUCACGCAGAACCCCGAUGGCGAAGGCAGCAUACCGGCGCCCUACUGACGCUGAGGCACGAAAGUGCGGGUAUCGAACAGGAUUAGAUACCCCGGUAGUC